rnacentral:tRNA from 2 species
UUUUAAUAGCUUAUUUAGAGCAUGAUAUUGAAGAUAUCAGUGAGGCUUUUAGUCUUAAAAUA